rfam:Candidatus Firestonebacteria bacterium GWA2_43_8 gwa2_scaffold_8865, whole genome shotgun sequence.
GCGCCCGUGGCCUAAUUGGAUAAGGCACUAGCCUCCGAAGCUGGUGAUUGGCAGUUCGACUCUGCCCGGGCGCA